GCCUGGGUAGCUCAGCUGGUUAGAGCAUAGUGCUGAUAAUGCCAAGGUUGCAAGUUUGAUCCCCCUGUAGGACA